GAUGAACGCCGGCGGCGUGCCUAAUACAUGCAAGUCGAGCGAACGGACGAGAAGCUUGCUUCUCUGAUGUUAGCGGCGGACGGGUGAGUAACACGUGGAUAACCUACCUAUAAGACUGGGAUAACUUCGGGAAACCGGAGCUAAUACCGGAUAAUAUUUUGAACCGCAUGGUUCAAAAGUGAAAGACGGUCUUGCUGUCACUUAUAGAUGGAUCCGCGCUGGAUUAGCUAGUUGGUAAGGUAAAGGCUUACCAAGGCAACCAUGCAUAGCCGACCUGAGAGGGUGGUAGGCCACCCUGGAAGUGAGACACGGUCCAGACUCCUACGGGAGGGCGCAGUAGGGAAUCUUCCGCAAUGGGCGGAAGCAUGGCGGAGCAACGCGGAGUGAGUGAUGAAGGUCUUCGGAUCGUAAAACUCUGUUAUUAGGGAAGAACAGAUGUGUAAGGAACUGUGCACAUCGUGACGGUACCUAGUCAGAAAGCAACGGCUAACUACGUG
rnacentral:rRNA from 1 species